rnacentral:rRNA from 1 species
UGCCUACGGGACGCAGCAGUGAGGAAUAUUGGUCAAUGGGCGAGAGCCUGAACCAGCCAAGUCGCGUGAGGGAGUACUGCCCUAUGGGUUGUAAACCUCUUUUGUCGGGGAGCAAAAGCCGGACGUGUCCGUCUGUGAGAGUACCCGAAGAAAAAGCAUCGGCUAACUCCGUGCCAGCAGCCGCGGUAAUACGGAGGAUGCGAGCGUUAUCCGGAUUUAUUGGGUGUAAAGGGUGCGUAGACGGGAAAUUAAGUUAGUUGUGAAAUCCCUCGGCUCAACUGAGGAACUGCAACUAAAACUGGUUU